UACGUAGGUGGCAAGCGUUGUCCGGAAUUAUUGGGCGUAAAGCGCGCGCAGGCGGUCUCUUAAGUCUGAUGUGAAAGCCCCCGGCUCAACCGGGGAGGGUCAUUGGAAACUGGGAGACUUGAGUGCAGAAGAGAAGAGUGGAAUUCCACGUGUAGCGGUGAAAUGCGUAGAGAUGUGGAGGAACACCAGUGGCGAAGGCGAGUUUCUGGACGGUAACUGACGCUGAGGCACGAAGGCCAGGGGAGCAAACGGG
rnacentral:rRNA from 1 species